rnacentral:lncRNA from 1 species
CUGUUCCAGUCCCCGCUAGAAACAGGAUGUCCUUCAGCACAUUAAUCCAGCAGGUCAUGUUAUCCCUGGAGUAGAAAACCCAGAGACGGCUACUUUCCAGGGUCCUGCAUCUGGGGUGCAAGUGAGGCACACGCAGAUGAGACUCCACCUGCCCUGGGCAGCUUUCCUGAGCCUUGAGAAACCAGCUCACCAUGAAUCCAAGGUGUCUGCUGUUCCUUGCCACCAUUUCAUGGAACCUGUUGUAUGUACCUAUUCAUGUUUUCCAUGUUUCAAAUAUGACUGAACCUGACAUAUAUAAGAACGCAAAAGAUUCUUCAAAAUCAAACUGUGUCCGGAAUUGGUGGGUUCUUGGUCUCACUGACUUCAAGAAUGAAGCCACGGACCCUGGCGGUUGCUAGUAACACAAUAAUAAAGCUGCUUUAUUUUCCAGUGAAGAUGUAUGUGAUAGGGAGUGGAGGAAGAAAAAGGCCAGAAAAUUCCAUAGUUAGCAAAUAUACCUUUCUUACUUAAAAUUCUUUUUCCAAUGUGAGCCUUCUAAAGAGUUACUGAGAAAUUAGGUGAGCUCACCUCAUUUAAUGCAAUAGAUAUGUUUCUGAAAAAUAAGCAAUACAUAGGACAUUGGCCAAUUAAGAAUUCUGAUGAAGAAGAAUUUUCACAUCCGAAAGAGUAAAAAUGAAAAACGGUACAAAUGUAGUGGCUUUUAAAUUUCAAAACAAAUUAUUUUGAUAAGAUAAAUAUUCCUCUCAUAAAGUGAAAAUGGAAGAGACUGCUUGCUGGGUGUUCGUCAAAAUGGAGUUAGAUGGUCUGUCCCAGACUCCCCUGUUGUUAGUUCUGAGAACAGAAGUAAUGGUGCUUCUUCAGGACUGGCUCAUAGAAACCUGCCGUGUUCAGCCCCCACAAUCCUCUCCCUUCUGCUGGCUGGAAACAAAUGACAACGAAGCCUCACGUCUUGGAGAAACCACACUGCUGAGGAACUCAAGUCCUAGAAGAACCAUUUGAAGAGACCCAUCUCACUAAAGAAAAUCACACAAGCAAGAAGUAAACUUCAUUGUAUCUAUGUAUUUAAUUGUCAUAACAGUCUACCUUAACUGAUACAGCAAAAAUUCGCUCCUUUUCUGGACACCCAGUUUCAAAAUCUCAGUGUCAUUUUUUACUUCUCUCUUUUCAGGUUGUUUAAUAUAAUAAAAUUUGUGUGUGUGUGUGUGUGUGUGUGACAAGGUCUUGCUCUGUUGCCCAGGCUGGAGUGCAAUGGCACGCUCCCAGCCCACUACAGCCUUGACCUCCAAGCUCAAGUGUUCCUCCCACCUCAGCCUCCAGAGUAACUGGGACUACAGGCAUGGGCCACCACACCCGGCUAAUUUUUGUACUUUUUGUAGAGACAGGGUUUCACCAUGUUGCCCAGGCUGGUCUUGAACCCCUGGGCUCAAGCGAUCUGCCCAUCUCCACCUCCCAAAAUUCUAGGAUUACAGGCGUGAGCCACUACACCCAACCAUUUUAUUUUUAAAAGUUUUCUUUGCAAUAUUGCUCACAUUGUUUCCUUCCUUUUUAUUCUUAUUGUCACUCCCAAGUUCAGGCUUUUACCUCUUUUAUUUGAAGUAUUAAAGUAUACUUCUAAGUCAUUUCUGUGGCUUAAAUUUAUUUAAUCCACUCCAUCCUGCAUCCUACCAACACAAUAACAUUGUUUCAUCAUUUCAAAUUGAAAUCGAAACUCUCCAAAGCUUUCCUACUGCUGAAUGGAUAAAAACACAAAAUCCUCAAUAGAGAAUUCACUUUCUGGAGCCAACUUACCUUUCCAAAUAUUUCCCAUUAUUCCCUAAGAGAAUCCUCCUGACAUACUCACUGUUUUUCAUAUACACUAGACCUUUUCUCAACCACCUAUUUGUCCACACAUUUUUCUUCCAGCUAGAAUAUUAUUUUCCCUUUCUCACUUCUGAAAGUCUUACCUGUCAUUCAUGGUUCAUCUCAAGCUCAAUCUUCUCCUUGAAACCUUUAAGCAUACCCUCCUGGAAAGUUAUCUCCCUCACCUCGAACCACCCCCCCAGCCCCUGCCAGAAUCUCCUAUAGGGCUGAUUGUUUAUCCUGCUUAUUAUAUAUUUAUAAAACACUCCACUGAGUUAUUAAUUACCUUUUCCUUGACUGUGAAAACAUGACUCUGGCUUCAAGGUAGGACCAUUUUUUCUCUAACACUGUGUCUCAUACACUUCAGCACAAGCUCUUAGUGGCCUGUGCAUUCAACUCCCAUGCAUAGCCACUUCCUCCAGGCAAACCCCACAGCCAGCAUCCAAAUUUUAAAAGGGGUUCUGUCAUCAACCCAAAGUUUCUUCUCUCUCAAGGAACCUAGAUUUAGAAGUUGAGUCUAGGCCACCUGUCUAAGAUACAGUAGUUAAUUUAACAUAUUUUAUUGCUCUCAACAUCACAGAGAAAGAGCCUUACUGCAGAUCUCAUUCUUUCCUUCAAAGCCAGUUUGCCCAUUCCUCUUCAGAAACCUUUAAGAGUGGUUAUUGGGAGAGAUGAUAAGACUCCAUCUGCUUAAGGAGUCCCUCUAACCCAGAAUAGUAGAUGUAAACACCUGACAUGUUGUUAUAGAGUGAAUGUUUGUGUUCCCCUCCAAUCCAUAUGUUGAAAUUCCAAGCCCCAAUGUGUUCGCAUUGGGAGGUGAGGCCUUUGGGAGGUAAAUAGAUCAUGAAGGUGAAGUCUUCAUGAAUGGAUUAGUGUCCUUAUAAAAGAGACCCCAGAGAGCUCUCUCAUCCUGUUUCUGCCAUGUGAGGACACAGCAAGAAGUUGGUCAUCUGCAACCUGAAGUGGCUCCUCCCCAGAAACUGAAUCUGCUGGGGUCUUAAUGGUGGGCUUCCCAGCCUCCAGAAUUAUGAGUGUAAAUGUUUGUUGUUUAAGCUACCCAGUCUAGGGUAGUUUGCUAUACUACCCCAAACUGACUAAGAUACAUAUGUUUGUCAUCCACUCAGUUGUUUUCCUAAAAUAAAUGAAGUCAGCUCCAAAGAUGAAUUUUCAUCUCUUUUUGUAGAGAUGGGUGCUAUUAUGCUUUUUAAUGAACGUUUAUUCACAAAUAAAAACAAAACAUACCUCUCACAUCCUCAGAGCAAAUACUUACAGUAACAUACAUUGAUGCUCACAAGCUCAUUACAUUUCAUGUUUACUAUUCAUUGAUAACAUUACAUUUAUUAUUAUCACAUAAACCAUACCUCCUGUUUAUGAAGCACUUAUGGUGUUUUAGUCAAUGUUAUGGUACCUGCUAUAUAUGGUCUCUAAUUUUAUUUUAACUUCCUAUAGUAAACAAUAUUAGGUGCUAACUCAAUAGUCAUUUUCUAACCUGAUUUUUCCUUGCAAACAGAACCCCAAAUUUGUUUGGAGAGAAAUGUGUCCAAAUCCAAACAAAGCAUCACCAUUUCUUUGAACCAUCAUAAGGAUCUAAUCAUUUUUUUUGUUUUCCUAGCCUCCCUCUAGCCAGAGAUACUGGGUAACACAGUUCUGGCUGAGAAGACAAGAGAAGAAAUCUGCUAAGCAUUUCUGGAAAAAGUUUUGAUUUGCUGAUGAAAGGGAACAGACAUACUGGUUGCCUUCCUUUUCCCUUUCAGCUGCCUAGUCGCCAUUUUGCAAUGUGAAACAACAUCAUUAAGGAAAGAUCAAAACAAUUGCAGAGAUGUCAACCAUCAUGCCUUUGAAUUCAUGCUCACAGUUGUCUGCCUCCAGAUUCAGUUAUAUUUGAGGUACUCUUUGAGUUAAGAUCCUUCUCAUUUUAUACCACUUGCAGCUGAACACACUCCCCACUAAUUUACCUUGUAAGGUGAAUUUCACUUAAAGGAAGAACACAUAAGUCAGGGAAUGACACAUAAUAGUAAAUGCAGGGUUUUUUUUUCUAUUUAUGAUAUAGAUUUAUACAACUGCUAUGUUCUUGACAUUGUACCAAUUUCAAGGUACAAAUAAGACAUAAUCCCUAAAAGCAUGGGUUACAAAAUCUGGGUUCAGCAUAGGGUUUCAUGAUAAACAAACAAACACAAAUUGUUUUUUAUUGUAUUUCCUUCUUCUUCACAUCUUGUGAAUCUAAGAAAAAUAUCAGAAUGUUCGUUUCAGCUCAAUUUUUGAAGAGUACAAUCUCUAAGUAAAAAGAAACUGUAAAUGUUUAUAAAUGUAACUAGAGCCUAGUAGAAAAUAAAGCCAUGCAAGUGUGUUUAGGUCCUAAUCUUAUUAACCAGAUUAGUGACACACAGUCUGCCCAAAGUUAAUGAAAGCAGUGAGGUUCUUUGACUUCAGUAGAUACACACCUGAACCACAGAGAUAAACUUGCUUCAAACCUGUGCGAUAUGUUUUUCUAAGCAUAAAAUUGAGCAUGAUAGCUCCAAUUUCAGUCUCAGUUUCAAAGCUUCCCUUUCCCGAAUAAGAGGCAAACUGUCACAUUAAAUUUAGCGAAUUAAAAUCAGUUAACUUGAAAAGCUCUUGGCCCCAAUGCAGAGAAAAUUGUUUGCAUAAUAAUAACUUAUUUCCUUUUUUAAAAGGCGGACUUCUGCCUGAAUGCUUCUAUAAACUUUUAAGAAAAUGGGAUUCUCAAAUCUCAAGCGUAUUGGGUUGCAGUUGGCACUUGAAGCUGGGGACAUGCAGAGCUGGCUAAUGUCAGCAGCUGUAGGACUGUCAAGAAAAAUAGGUGGAAGGGACACUUUUAUUAUAAGUAGACUUGCAAGGCAUUCCAACUUUCAGCUGCUCAACCCAGUAUACCAAACACCUCUGACUACCUCAAGUGUGGCCUUGCUGAGUGCUUCCAUAUUUAGGGGUUAUUAGACAGGACUGAAGCAAGUGACCUCUAAUGAGGAAGCAAUCAGGGCAGGCUCUGACCCUCCUCAGAGGUACUGUAAUGAACUGGCCUUGGAAGGUCUUUGAUGCUGCCUUUGC